AGGAAAAAAAAUAAAGUAGUUGAAGACCUAGCUGCUUACAGAGCUGACUGCCUUGAUCGCCUCUUAAGAGAAGGCUGCGAUCUUGACCCUGUCAUUGGUGAUACUGACUCUGAGAAACUCAUCCAAGAAUAAACUAACAUUAUCCAAUGACGGCCGGGCGCAAAAGUCUCUUUCUUUUCCUCAUGAAUCUGGCCUGGAAAUGCCGGUUCAGUAUGCCGUUACUCCUCAGUGGAACGAUGGCGUUAUUGGGGCAGGCCUGGAUGUUCCAGAUUCGAGUCCAAACCGUACAAGAAUUGCAUGAGAAUGAGGUUUCAUAGUUAUAUAGUAGUUAUCUUUGCUGGCAUAUUACGACGAUGACGAUAUGGACGACGACUCCCGGGACACUGAAUCCACUGACUCUUGGGAGACAAUAGUUGAAGAAGUGGCGUAUGGAUGACUGUUAUUCAGCUUAAUAUUCCACCAUGAGCGCAUGUGUUGUUUAAUCGUUUAAUACCAGGGUAGAUUUUCUGGAAUAUUUUAUGUCAGAACAACUUUGGCUUCAGUAUGAAAUUUACGAUAGUUUAUCAAUACGAUAUUGUCAGUUGUUGACACCUCGAAAAUGUGUUGUGAUACGUUUUUGUUUCCGAAAUAUUUUGUGUAGUUUACUACAAGUAUUCUAUUCGAGCCUCCGUUUAGUACCAAAUACGCUCACGGUGCGCUUCUAAAGUAUCACUCCUCACUUUUCUAUUGCAAUAGCUAUUGACUUUACCGUCAAUACCAAUGUUAGCAAUAUUUCAUUAUUAAAUGACGUGAUUCAUUAACGUUUCAACUUUGCUGCUCGGUUUUAAGGUUCAUUUUACAAUGUAUAUUAUCAAAUAUCUGUAUUUCGGCAGGAUUAAUUCCUACUUAUUAUUGUGGUCGAACUUAGAUCAACACCAGAUAGUCUGUACGCUAAAUAAAGCGUCGUAUCGAAGAUCAAAACAGUUUUAAAUUAACUUUUUUUAUGUCAUUACUAGACAGGUAGACAUUCGACACUUUUGACAGAUACGCCAGUUUUCUUACCGCACAGACUAUCUGUCAUACAGUCUAAUUGUUAGAGGUUUUUGUGGUUUUGACAUAUCUACGUUUUUUUUUUUGUCAAUUUACGUCGGAAUUAGUUUCUGACAGCUGACAGCGUUUUCAAAUUGUGAUUGUGUUCAGUUUAUUAUUUAAUAAAAUAAAUAAAUCAAUGUAAAACUUUGGACAGUGAAACAAAAUUGUCGUAAAUAUAAAUAAUUAUUUAAUAUUGGGUCCUAAUACUAUAAGAAUAUCACAAAAAUCUUAAGUAAGAUUCUGUUAGACUUAACGCUGAGUAAAAAUCCAAUCGGUUAGGAAUAAAAUAUUUUUUCUAAAACGAUAAUUUUAUUUAUUAAGAAACAAACAUUUAUUUUUCAUCAUCACUUUAAUAGAAACAAGAAUAAGAUAUAAGAUAUAAAGUUUGUAUUUGACUCACAUCCUAGAUCAGUUGCACAGAUAAUAAUAAUUAAUGACAGCAAAGCGACUUUGCUAGUACACAAGUAGACUUUUGAUUCUCUAUUAAAAAUCCUGUUAAAAUUAUAAACACUGUUAAAAUUCAGGUAUUUAUUUUAUUUUUUGCCUUAAAUUAUUUCCUGAACCACUAUAUAUCUGGUUAUCCUGUGUUAGUAAAUAUUUGCAACAGUAAGUAUGUAUCAGGAACCCUCUCCGGUAAGGCUUGCCAUCUUUCUCUUCAAAAUUCAGGUAUAGGAGUGUUUAAUACUUAGCUCUAGGUCGCCUUAGCCUUAGAUUUUUUGUUUUCAUUCAUCACAUUCCGUGGAAUAUAUCGAUUUGUAAGCAUGGUUACAUGGUACAAAGCCCACAUCUUAAACGUAGUGUUUUUAUAGUGAUAAGAGGAAAAUUAUUGAAUAGUUAUUCC